UACGUAGGGGGCAAGCGUUGUCCGGAUUUAUUGGGCGUAAAGAGCGUGUAGGCGGUUUGGUAGGUCCGCUGUGAAAACUCGAGCUCAACCUCGAGACGCCGGUGGAAACCAUCAGACUAGAGUCCGGAAGAGGAGAGUGGAAUUCCUGGUGUAGCGGUGAAAUGACGCAGAUAUCAGGAGGAACACCGGUGGCGAAGGCGGGUCUCUGGGCCGAUACUGACGCUGAGGAGCGAAAGCGUGGGGAGCGAACAGG
rnacentral:rRNA from 1 species